UGAGGAACAUGACCUUCGGCGGGGGAUAGCCGGCCCAACGGCCGGGUAAUACCGCGUACGACCACAUGGGGACAUCCCUGAGUGGUGAAAGCAGCAAUGCGCCGAUGGAGUGCCUCGCGGCCUAUCAGCUAGUUGGUGAGGUAACGGCUCACCAAGGCAACGGACGGGUAGCUGGUCUGAGAGGAUGGCCAGCCACAUUGGGACUGAGACACGGCCCAGACCUGUACGGGAG
rnacentral:rRNA from 1 species